rnacentral:rRNA from 1 species
UACGUAGGGAGCGAGCGUUGUCCGGAAUUACUGGGUGUAAAGGGAGCGUAGGCGGGACGGCAAGUCAGAUGUGAAAACUAUGGGCUCAACUCAUAGACUGCAUUUGAAACUGUUGUUCUUGAGUGAGGUAGAGGUAAGCGGAAUUCCUGGUGUAGCGGUGAAAUGCGUAGAGAUCAGGAGGAACAUCGGUGGCGAAGGCGGCUUACUGGGCCUUUACUGACGCUGAGGCUCGAAAGCGUGGGGAGCAAACAGG